rnacentral:rRNA from 1 species
GUCAGCUCGUGUCGUGAGAUGUUGGUUAAGUCCGCAACGAGCGCAACCCCUAUUGUUAGUUGCCAUCAUUCAGUUGGGCACUCUAGCGAGACUGCCGGUAAUAAACCGGAGGAAGGUGGGGAUGACGUCAAAUCAUCAUGCCCCUUAUGACCUGGGCUACACACGUGCUACAAUGGUUGGUACAACGAGUUGCGAGUCGGUGACGGCGAGCUAAUCUCUUAAAGCCAAUCUCAGUUCGGAUUGUAGGCUGCAACUCACCUACAUGAAGUCGGAAUCGCUAGUAAUCGCGGAUCAGCACGCCGCGGUGAAUACGUUCCCGGGCCUU